GUGAGGAAUAUUGGUCAAUGGACGGAAGUCUGAACCAGCCAUGCCGCGUGGAGGAAGAAGGUCCUAUGGGUUGUAAACUCCUUUUGUUCCGGAGUAAUAAGUGCCUUGCGAGGCACGAUGAGAGUACGGGACGAAUAAGCAUCGGCUAACUCCGUGCCAGCAGCCGCGGUAAUACGGAGGAUGCAAGCGUUAUCCGGAUUUAUUGGGUUUAAAGGGUGCGCAGGCGGCGCGUUAAGUCAGUGGUGAAAUGUCCCGGCUCAACCGGGGAACUGCCGCUGAUACUGACGUGCUCGAGUACGGACGGCGCCGGCGGAAUGUGUCAUGUAGCGGUGAAAUGCUUAGAUAUGCCACAGAACACCGAUCGCGAAGGCAGCUGGCGAGGCCGGUACUGACGCUCAGGCACGAAAGCGUGGGGAUCAAACAGG
rnacentral:rRNA from 1 species